rnacentral:rRNA from 1 species
UACGUAGGGUGCGAGCGUUGUCCGGAAUCAUUGGGCGUAAAGAGCGUGUAGGCGGCCCGGUAAGUCCGCUGUGAAAGUCGGGGGCUCAACCCUCGAAUGCCGGUGGAUACUGUCGGGCUAGAGUGCGGAAGAGGCGAGUGGAAUUCCUGGUGUAGCGGUGAAAUGCGCAGAUAUCAGGAGGAACACCGAUUGCGAAGGCAGCUCGCUGGGACGUAACUGACGCUGAGACGCGAAAGCGUGGGGAGCAAACAGG